rnacentral:misc_RNA from 1 species
GAUGAAGAACGUAGCGAAAUGCGAUACUUGGUGUGAAUUGCAGAAUCCCGUGAACCAUCGAGUUUUUGAACGCAAGUUGCGCCCGAAGCCGUUAGGCCGAGGGCACGCCUGCCUGGGUGUCACACAUCGUUGCCCCAAUGCCAAUCGCCUCACUUUGUAGGUAUUUGCUUGGGGUGAAUGUUGGCCUCCCGUGAGCUUUGUCUCACGGUUGGUGGAAAAUCGAGUGCAUGGUGUCGGGUGUACCAUGAUGGAUGGUGGUUGAGUGAUGAUGCUCGCGACCAAUCAUGGGUAACUCCACCAGAAUUGGGCUCGGUGACCCACAUGCGUCCCUUGGAUGCUCCCUAAGGAGACCUCAGGUCAGGCGGGGCUACCCGCUGAGUUUAAGCAUAUCAAUAAGCGGAGGA